UCAAGUUGUGUACGCCUUCAGGCUUCUCAAGGUUGUACUGUGAGAUCAUUCCGCAUACGGCGAUGCGGCCAUGAAUUCUCAUGUUGAGUAGGACUGCAUCAAGCAUCUUACCCCCAACAUUUUCGAAAUAGAUGUCGAUGCCUUCAGGAAAGCACCUGGGAAAACAAAUAUGAUUUCAGCAAACUUGGAAUAAAAUAAUGCAACGAAUCUUUUCAUUUCCUAAAUAAACAUACAUCACAAACAUGAUUCUGUUAGCUGCAAGUGAAAAUUUCCCUCUGAAUUGAAUAUCUAUCUUCAUUCCAAGUUUAUACUAUGUAUGGCAAUGGUAGAAAAUAUCAAUGUAACAAAUGAGAUCAGUGAUCUCUGUUUGUCCUGUUUUACAUUUACAGGACCAACGCAGAUAACAUCAAUCAGCGCAUUGUAAUAAUGAAGUGAGAAAAGUGGUUAAAGCAUUCAUUCGUGCUAACCUCUUAAGAGCUGCAUCCAAGUCUGGCUCUUUCUUAUAGUUAAAAGCAUCAUCAAACCCAAACUUGUUCUUCAACAGAUUGACCUAAUGUUGAAAACGUAAUCAAAUGAGAAACAGCACAAAGAAAAAGAAUCUGGUUAAUAUAGUCAUCUAAUAAUAUAAUCUGGCAUAAAAAACAGAAUAUAAUUUCAAGCAUAUAUCAACUAAAUUUUCUUGAGGACGAAUCAACUAUGUAUUAAUAGGUCUGUUUCUACUAGACUACUGAUCAAAUAUCCAUGAUCAGUUAGAACACAAAUACUGUGACAUGCACAAUUCUUUUGGAAGUUAUUAUGUUUUUAUUUGGAGCUUAAGGGUCAAGAGUGCAAACUCACCUUUUCUUUGCUUCCUGCACUUCCAACAACAUAGCAACCAACCAACUUUGCAAAUUGCCCAACUAGCUGACCAACAGCUCCAGAUGCUGCAGAUACAUAGACAUACUCUCCUUUCUUAGGAGAGCAAAGCUCAUAUAAACCACCAUAUGCAGUCAAACCAGGCAUACCUAGAAUCAACAGAAAAAUACCCAAUAAUCAGCAACAAUAGUAAAUUCCUCAAAUGAAAUCCUUCAGUUACAUGCCCAUACAGACGGACCAAUUGUUGAAAAUUCAAAAUGCUAGACGUUCAAGCAGGCAUCUGCUGUACGGCCAAGGCGGAUGUACGGUACAGCAGCAGAGAAUUAGCUUGACAUAGAAAGCUAUUGGUUAAGAUAACGUGGCCUAAUUUCUAGGAAAGUUGUGUGCCACGAUCUAUGUAAACCAUCUCCAACUGAUGAUCACGUGCAACUGCUGAAGAAAGUGGGCAGAAGUUAAAGGUAGUAACCACCCACGACCAGGGGCCUAUUUAAGCUGAAAAUGGCAACUGAGGAAGGGGUUAGCAAAAUUCAACCAAAAAACUCUAUAAGUGACCUACCUAGGAGCCUUAAGAAAGAGGACCAGAUUUGGAGUUCCUUUAUCAGAAAAUUCCUUUCUUUUGAACCCAUUCACAAUUCUUCCCUCUCAUUUUUGUCGCUUUAUACACAAUUUCUGACUUAAGCAUUGGAGGGUCUACGCCGGAAACCCACCGGCGUAUCCUAACCGUGUUUUCUGGUUGACAGGUACAGAAAAUUACGGUCAUAUUGGCGUUUAAGCUUGGAUUCGUGCUAUAAUUCCCCUAAAGAAACAAAUUCAGCUGUUGAGGUCGUUUUUCGGCAUCAACAUUAACUUUGCAAGCUACCACUCUUGAGGGUCUUGUUGGGACAUUGUUGAUGAAUUAAACUGCAUUCUCCAGUGAAAACACUAACAUUUCAAAGCGUUCAUUGAUUUAGAAACCAGUACCAUACACAUGUUCUGAAUCUUUCAUUUAUAGCUGAGUACAACUUGAUCAAACAAACAUAACAUGUAUCAAAAAUAAGACAGAGGCAUCUUCACUAAGCUUUUAAAGUGCAUGGCACAGUCCACUUUUAAAGCAUAUUGUAAUCAUAUCAUUCAGGAGCAACUACAACCAGUUGUUUUCCAACAUUCUGCCCAGUGAAUAUCCCAACUAGGGCUGAUGGAGCUUUCUCCAGGCCUUCAGCUAUGUCCUCGACAUAUACUAACUUUCCUUCUUUGAUUGCCGGCAUAACCAGUUCCAAGAAUUUCGGAUAUUGGUGGUAGAAAUCACCGGCAAGAAACCCUUCCAUGCGAAUUCGUUUUCCAACUACUUGCAUCAAGUUGUGUACGCCUUCAGGCUUCUCAAGGUUGUACUGUGAGAUCAUUCCGCAUACGGCGAUGCGGCCAUGAAUUCUCAUGUUGAGUAGGACUGCAUCAAGCAUCUUACCCCCAACAUUUUCGAAAUAGAUGUCGAUGCCUUCAGGAAAGCACCUGGGAAAACAAAUAUGAUUUCAGCAAACUUGGAAUAAAAUAAUGCAACGAAUCUUUUCAUUUCCUAAAUAAACAUACAUCACAAACAUGAUUCUGUUAGCUGCAAGUGAAAAUUUCCCUCUGAAUUGAAUAUCUAUCUUCAUUCCAAGUUUAUACUAUGUAUGGCAAUGGUAGAAAAUAUCAAUGUAACAAAUGAGAUCAGUGAUCUCUGUUUGUCCUGUUUUACAUUUACAGGACCAACGCAGAUAACAUCAAUCAGCGCAUUGUAAUAAUGAAGUGAGAAAAGUGGUUAAAGCAUUCAUUCGUGCUAACCUCUUAAGAGCUGCAUCCAAGUCUGGCUCUUUCUUAUAGUUAAAAGCAUCAUCAAACCCAAACUUGUUCUUCAACAGAUUGACCUAAUGUUGAAAACGUAAUCAAAUGAGAAACAGCACAAAGAAAAAGAAUCUGGUUAAUAUAGUCAUCUAAUAAUAUAAUCUGGCAUAAAAAACAGAAUAUAAUUUCAAGCAUAUAUCAACUAAAUUUUCUUGAGGACGAAUCAACUAUGUAUUAAUAG
rnacentral:lncRNA from 1 species